rnacentral:rRNA from 1 species
AUGAACGCUGGCGGCGUGCCUAAUACAUGUAAGUCGAGCGAACGGACGAGAAGCUUGCUUCUCUGAUGUUAGCGGCGGACGGGUGAGUAACACGUGGAUAACCUACCUAUAAGACUGGGAUAACUUCGGGAAACCGGAGCUAAUACCGGAUGAUAUUUUGAACCGCAUGGUUCAAAAGUGAAAGACGGUCUUGCUGUCACUUAUAGAUGGAUCCGCGCUGCAUUAGCUAGUUGGUAAGGUAACGGCUUACCAAGGCAACGAUGCAUAGCCGACCUGAGAGGGGGAUCGGCCACACUGGAACUGAGACACGGUCCAGACUCCUACGGGAGGCAGCAGUAGGGAAUCUUCCGCAAUGGGCGAAAGCCUGACGGAGCAACGCCGCGUGAGUGAUGAAGGUCUUCGGAUCGUAAAACUCUGUUAUUAGGGAAGAACAUAUGUGUAAGUAACUGUGCACAUCUUGACGGUACCUAAUCGGAAAGCCACGGCUAACUACGUG